ensembl:lncRNA
AAGCUAUUCAAAUAAUGAUGAGAGUGAUGAAUACUCUCAUUUUUAUCCCAGCUUUGACCCAAUCCUUCCUACAAUAUCUCUCAUAUCAAGUUCAAUCCCUGGCACUCAUACAGAGCUCCUUAUCUCCUGAGGUUGCCUCUUCAUGUUUGGAAACCUACGGCUGGCACAUUCUUACAGUGUGACUUUGACUGGCUAAGAAAGAGAAGGUGACUUCUAGAGAGAGGCCCUGGCUGAGUCCAUGCAGGACUUGCUGCAGAGCUGAUCUGCUCAGGGUACCAUCAGCCCAGCCAGGCAGUGGAAGAGAAGCCAGGGUUCCCUAGGAGGGUCAGAGUGGCAGAGGACUUGAGCCUGCAGAGAGGGCUGUGGCAGUCCCCCCACCCUGGCCGCCCCCAGGGCGGGGGGCCAGAAUGGCUUCCUGCACGUGUGCACGAGUGUGGGUGUGGACAGCUGGGUCCCUGCAGCUAGCCUGGAUUAGCUGUAGAUUCCAUACCAGUGAGGAUGUGUUUGGAGAGAUCCCUUUGUUUGUUUGCCUGACUACCUUAACCCAGGCAGAGAACUGCUCCUCAAGGGUGGAGUUGUGCAUGAGAGGGGAGACUGGCAUCUGAUUUCCUGGCUGGAUGUUCCCCAACUCGCAGACAUUCUCAGCACUCCCCAAGUUGGCACCAGAACAGCAGUGACUGGGGUUCUAGAGUGUGGGCUGGGGUCUGCAGUCAGCAUGAAGGUACCCUGGUGCUAGCCUCUGGUGCUAGCCUCUCAGCUGGAGAAGCCCACAGGCGGAAGGCUGCUUGAGACCCCUGUGGUUGAGGUGAGGGCAGCUCUCAGCAGUCUGAGCCUGCAUGUGUUCCUGGGGCCAAGAGGAGGCUUCUCAGGGGAGCUGGAUGGAGUCAUUGCCUGUUGGGCUGAGAACCAUCUGCAGGGCAAGGCAAGGCAGUGGAGCAAGGCUGGAGCUGCACCACUGGAGGGGGAGUCGAGUGGGUGGAAGAGGGCGGUCAGAGUGCAACACCCAUAACAGGAACUUUAGCCAAGAUCAGAGAACUUUGCCUUUUCUUUUCUUUUCUUUUCUUCUUUUUUCUUUUUUGGUACCUGGGAUCAAACUCGGGACCUUGUGCUUGGGAGGCAGGCGGGGAACCACUGAGCUAAAUCCCUGACCAACUUUGCCUUUUCUUAUGUGUCUGAUCCCUCUUGUCCCUUUCCCACUUGUAAAUGAGCAAGAGGGAAGCAUGGGGGGAGGGUGUGUAGGGUGGAAGUGCAGUGGGGAGGAUGAAAGGCUGGAGCCCACCUCCCAGGGCCCCUGCUUGGGCCAGAAGGGCUGGAAGGAGAGCAGCUGCUUGUGAGAGGCAGGAAGGCAGGUUUGAUUAGCCUGGCCUGGAUGCUGUAGUCGCUGGAAGAGACAGGAAGGCUGCACCAUCUGCUCCAGAUGCUGUGGGGAGCUGAGAGCUGACAGAGGGGCCCAAGGCAAUGGUGUGGGAGACGUGUACUUCUUCCUUCGUUGUGGUCCACGAGGUCUGAUCUUCAGAAUUAAGUAACUUCCAUCAACAACCUGCUAUGUGCUGGCCACUGAUUUAAAUUGAUGCAUAACCGAGGGCCCACAGUGCCCCAGGGGCACAGCCAUGAACCUGGCUGUGAGAGACAUUAUAAGCGGGCAGACUAAAUGUGAUGGGAACCAGGGAAUUCUUUCAAAAAUUAUUUACAAAUCUUCGCAAAUGGUUUUCUUGGUAUUUGCUGGAUUUUCUUAGAAUGGAUGAAGGAAGGGAAAAUGAUUUUAAGAGAAAGUUCUGGUUUCUUUACAUUAGGUUACUUGAGCUUUUCUUGAGAGUAGGAUUGAAGAUUGAUUGCAACAUGGUAGUUUCAGCUGUUUGCAAUAUAAUUUAGGGCAGGCUCACUAAAACAGUUUUUGCAUGGCUUUUAAAAUGUUCUAAAUGAAUUCUUAGGAAGCUAUGAUCUAAGUUUAAAGUUUAGUGUAUUUCUCAGAUAAAUUGAGAAAUUUAUCUACCUAGUUUACUCAAAUUUUGCCUUUUAGAUCAUUUUUACUUUUCAUAGAGGUAGAUGUAUAACUGAGGCAUGGCUUUCUCUAGGUAAAAUGGUGUAGGGCCUGUAAUGGAUUUCUUCCUCUGCUUAAUUAUUCAGGGAUAAGCCUUGUGAUCUAAAAAUGAACAACAUGAUUUUGUAUCCAUGGUAAGGUAAGGGGAUUAGUGGUCUUGUGCUUGUAAAACGGCAGCCCAGCUUCCAUUUAGUCCUUUUGAUUUCCAGAAACAAGAGCCUCAUUCUUACCACCCCUUGGAUACUGUUGCCCUUGGCUGGCCCCAUUGAUGAGAAAUGGUAGUGCAGCCAGUCCUUAGAGAAUUACCUUCAGAUCAGGGCUUCCCACACUUGAUGGGAGAGAGGAGACAUUUUUUACUUCUUCUUAGUGAUUUGCUUGAAGAAGCCACUUGUGUAUGUGUUAAUGUAUUGGUAAAAAACAUUGGUUAAAAUGUUUCAUGUGAACUGAAAUAUUUCCAUCAGACCCCUACAUAUUGAAAAUCUUGAAAAUAGUAAGUUUUAUUUAUUCAUGCUAAUGGCAUUUUAAUUUACUUAUUCUAUCAAAACAUAGUAUUGUUUUUUGUGCUUGAGAUUGAACCCAGAGUCUCCUGCACACUAAGCACGUGAGCUACAUCGUCAGCCCCCAAACACACUUUUAAAUGUUGGACAUGUUUAGCUCAAUAAGUACUUGAUGGCUGAUUAGUUUUCCAUCAGUUAAAAUCUUGGAGGAGGGCCGGGGAUUUAGCUCAGUGGUUCUGCCGCCUGCCUUGAAAGCGGAAGGUCCUGGGUUCGAUCCCCAGUACCAAAAAAAAAAAAAACUUGCAGGACAUGCAAUCUAGUCAUAUUUGGAAGAAAGACCAUGGAGAAGUUACACUUGUACACAAUCUAUAAAUGGAAGGAUCCGAUAUCCUUUGAUUCCUUAAUAAGUUAACUACUGAACUUUCCAAAAUUAUCCUUCCUGUCAUUCCCUUUUUUAGUGCCACUCCUCUCCAUUGUCUCUUUCUUUUGGUUACCCCACCCACAGCACACUGGGAAUUCCUAUUUCACUGCAGUUUUCGUGUUAUAAUGCAUGUCAGAGUACUGUAUUUGUGUCUGAGUAAGUGAAGUUUCAGCA